UAGUAAAUGGUGCACGCGGUAGCAAUGGG
rnacentral:piRNA from 1 species